CGUGGCACUGCCAGGUUUUGGGGUUCCACCGGAUUUUGGGAUCCCACAGGAUUUUGGGGUUCUCUGGGAUUUCAGCGCUGCCAGGUUUUGGGGCACCUCAGGAUUUUGGGGUUCCCUCGGCUUUGGGAAUCUCGUGGCAGUGCCGAGUUUGGGGCACCUCAGGAUUUUGGGGUUCCCCCGGCUUUGGGAAUUUCGUGGCAGUGCCAGGUUUGGGAUCCCAUGGGAUUUUGGGAUCCCGUGGGAUUUUGGGGUUCUGUGGGAAUUUCGUGGCACUGCCAGGUUUUGGGGUGCCGUGGGAUUUGGGCACUCUCAGGUUUUGAGGCACCUCAAGAUUUUGGGAUCCAAAUGGAUUUUGGGGUUCCCCCGGCUUUUGGAAUCUCCUGACAGUGCCAGGUUUUGGGUUCCCACUGGAUUUUGGGAUCCCACAGGAUUUUGGGGUUCUGUGGGAUUUCAGCACUGCCAGGUUUUGGGGUUCCCACUGGAUUUUGGGAUCCAAAUGGAUUUUGAGGUCCCGUGGGAUUUGGGCACUGUCAGAUUUUGGGGUUCCCCCGGAUUUGGGAAUUUCGUGGCAGUGCCAGGUUUUCGGGUCCCGUGGGAUUUUGGUAUCCCGUGGGAUUUUGGGGUUCUGUGGGAUUUGGGCAGUGCCAAUUUUGGGGUCCCGUGGGAUUUUUAGCUCCCGUUGGAUUUGGGCACUGCCAGGAUUUGGGGCACCUCAGGAUUUUGGGAUCCCACAGGAUUUUGGGGUUCCGCAAGAUUUGGGCACUCUCAGGUUUUGGGAUCCCGUUGGGAUUUUGGGGUCCUCUGGGAUUUUGGGAUCCCACAGGAUUUUGGGGUUCCCUGGCUUUGGGAAUCUCGUGGCAGUGUCAGGUUUUGGGGUGCCACUGGAUUUUGGGGUCCCGUGGGAUUUUGGGGUUCUGUGGGAUUUGGGCACUUCCAGGUUUUGGGGCACCUCAGGAUUUUGGGGUUCCCCCGGCUUUGGGAAUUUCGUGGCAGUGCCGAGUUUGGGGCACCUCAGGAUUUUGGGAUCCAAAUGGAUUUUGGGGUUCCCCAGCUUUGGGAAUCUCGUGGCACUCUCAGGUUUUGGGGACCCACUGGAUUUUGGGAUCCCGUUGGAUUUGGGCACUGCCAGGUUUUGGGGCACCUCAGGAUUUUGGGAUCCAAAUGGAUUUUGGGGUUCCCUGGCUUUGGGAAUUUCGUGGCAGUGUUGGGUUUUGGGGUCCUGUGGGAUUUUGGGAUCCAAAUGGAUUUUGGGGUUCUGUGGGAUUUGGGCAGUGCCAGGUUUUGGGGCACCUCGAGAUUUCGGGAUCCAAAUGGAUUUUGGGGUUCCCCCGGCUUUGGGAAUUUCGUGNNNNNNNNNNUUGGGGUCCCGUGGGAUUUUGGGAUCCAAAUGGAUUUUGG
rnacentral:lncRNA from 1 species